CUCAGGGAACCCAAUCUGCUGACCAGACUCCCUCCGCCCCACCUCCCCUCCAAACCAGUUACCCAAAUCUGACAGAGGAGUCCUAAGGCUUCUGCGUGAUGCUGGACCCAUCACGGGGUUGAGAGCAGUGACUCGGCAGAAAUGAAAGCUCGAGCCUGCUAGCAACCGAAUGAGGACACACGGUCCAGGAACAAGCUGUGGAAAUAGGAUUGUGCCCGCCUCCAUCACUCCAGUGCCUCACUUGUAGAUUUGUACUUCUCCUCCCUGCAGCCUGAGAUUUUGUCAGAGAAGAGAAGAGGAGAUUGGGACACAGACACGCACAGAGGAAGGAUCACAUGAAGACACAGCAAGAAGAUGGCCGUCUACAAGCCAAG